AACGCUGGCGGCGUGCCUAACACAUGCAAGUUGAGCGGUAAGGCCCCUUCGGGGGUACACGAGCAGCGAACGGGUGAGUAUCGCGUGGGUAAUCUACCUAGAGGUGGGGGAUAGCCUCGGGAAACCGAGGAUAAUACCGCAUAAGUCCUCAACGGCAUAAGUCGAUGAGGGGAAAGGCGGGGAUCCUUCGGGACCUGUCGCCUCCGGAUGAGCCCGCGUCCGAUUAGCUUGUUGGUGGGGUAAUGGCCUACCAAGGCGACGAUCGGUAGCCGGCCUGAGAGGGUGAACGGCCACAUUGGGACUGAGACACGGCCCAGACUCCUACGGGAGGCAGCAGUGGGGAAUUUUGGGCAAUGGGGGAAACCCUGACCCAGCGACGCCGCGUGGAGGAUGACGGCCUUCGGGUUGUAAACUCCUGUCA
rnacentral:rRNA from 1 species